UAUUGUGAAGAAUACCAAUGGCGAAGGCAGCCUCCUGGUUCUGUACUGACACUGAGGUGCGAAAGCGUGGGUAGCGAACAGGAUUAGAUACCCUGGUAGUCCACGCCGUAAACGAUGACAACCAGCUGUUGGGAAGCAAUGCUUUUCAGUGGCGCAGCUAACGUCUUAAGUUGUCCGCCUGGGGAGUACGGCCGCAAGGUUAAAACUCAAAUGAAUUGACGGGGACCCGCACAAGCGGUGGAGCAUGUGGUUUAAUUCGAUGCAACGCGAAAAACCUUACCUACUCUUGACAUCCUUGGAAUCUCUUGUAAUGAGAGAGUGCCUUUUGGAACCAAGUGACAGGUGCUGCAUGGCUGUCGUCAGCUCGUGUCGUGAGAUGUUCCGUUAAGUCGGAUAACGAGCGCAACCCUUACCCUUAUUUGCCAGCGGUUCGGCCGGGAACUAUAAGGGGACUGCCGGUGAUAAACCGGAGGAAGGUGAGGACGACGUCAAGUCAUCAUGGCCCUUACGAGUAGGGCUACACACGUGCUACAAUGGGAAGUACAGAGGGACGCCAAAGCGUGAGCUGGAGCUAAUCUCAUAAAACUUUUCGUAGUCCGGAUUGCAGUCUGCAACUCGACUGCAUGAAGUCGGAAUCGCUAGUAAUCGCGGAUCAGCACGCCGCGGUGAAUACGUUCUCGGGCCUUGUACACACCGCCCA
rnacentral:rRNA from 1 species